rnacentral:rRNA from 1 species
CCCUUAGAUGUUCUGGGCCGCACGCGUGCUACACUGAGUGGAUCAGCGGGUCAGGUUGCGCGAAAGUGUUUCCUAAUCUUGAAAUCCGCUCGUGACGGGGAUUGACGGUUGCAAUUUUCUGUCAUGAACGAGGAAUACCUUGUAAGCGCGGGUCAUCAUCCCGCGCUGAAUACGUCCCUGCCCUUUGUACACACCGCCCGUCGCUCCUACCGAUUGAGUGGUCCGGUGAGGCUUUGGGAUCUGAGCGGAAAGAGCGUUUCGCUGUUUCUGCUCGGAAAACUCAGUCGAACCUUAUCAUUUAGAGGAAGGAGAAGUCGUAACA